rnacentral:rRNA from 1 species
ACGCUGGCGGCGUGCCUAAUACAUGCAAGUCGAACGAGUUCUGAUUAUUGAAAGGUGCUUGCAUCUUGAUUUAAUUUUGAACGAGUGGCGGACGGGUGAGUAACACGUGGGUAACCUGCCCUUAAGUGGGGGAUAACAUUUGGAAACAGAUGCUAAUACCGCAUAAAUCCAAAAACCGCAUGGUUCUUGGCUGAAAGAUGGCGUAAGCUAUCGCUUUUGGAUGGACCCGCGGCGUAUUAGCUAGUUGGUGAGGUAACGGCUCACCAAGGCAAUGAUACGUAGCCGAACUGAGAGGUUGAUCGGCCACAUUGGGACUGAGACACGGCCCAAACUCCUACGGGAGCCAGCAGUAGGGAAUCUUCCACAAUGGACGCAAGUCUGAUGGAGCAACGCCGCGUGAGUGAAGAAGGCUUUCGGGUCGUAAAACUCUGUUGUUGGAGAAGAAUGGUCGGCAGAGUAACUGUUGUCGGCGUGACGGUAUCCAACCAGAAAGCCACGGCUAACUACGUGCCAGCAGCCGCGGUAAUACGUAGGUGGCAAGCGUUAUCCGGAUUUAUUGGGCGUAAAGCGAGCGCAGGCGGUUUUUUAAGUCUGAUGUGAAAGCCCUCGGCUUAACCGAGGAAGUGCAUCGGAAACUGGGAAACUUGAGUGCAGAAGAGGACAGUGGAACUCCAUGUGUAGCGGUGAAAUGCGUAGAUAUAUGGAAGAACACCAGUGGCGAAGGCGGCUGUCUGGUCUGUAACUGACGCUGAGGCUCGAAAGCAUGGGUAGCGAACAGGAUUAGAUACCCUGGUAGUCCAUGCCGUAAACGAUGAAUGCUAGGUGUUGGAGGGUUUCCGCCCUUCAGUGCCGCAGCUAACGCAUUAAGCAUUCCGCCUGGGGAGUACGACCGCAAGGUUGAAACUCAAAGGAAUUGACGGGGGCCCGCACAAGCGGUGGAGCAUGUGGUUUAAUUCGAAGCAACGCGAAGAGCCUUACCAGGUCUUGACAUCUUUUGAUCACCUGAGAGAUCAGGUUUCCCCUUCGGGGGCAAAAUGACAGGUGGUGCAUGGUUGUCGUCAGCUCGUGUCGUGAGAUGUUGGGUUAAGUCCCGCAACGAGCGCAACCCUUAUGACUAGUUGCCAGCAUUUAGUUGGGCACUCUAGUAAGACUGCCGGUGACAAACCGGAGGAAGGUGGGGAUGACGUCAAAUCAUCAUGCCCCUUAUGACCUGGGCUACACACGUGCUACAAUGGAUGGUACAACGAGUUGCGAGACCGCGAGGUCAAGCUAAUCUCUUAAAGCCAUUCUCAGUUCGGACUGUAGGCUGCAACUCGCCUACACGAAGUCGGAAUCGCUAGUAAUCGCGGAUCAGCACGCCGCGGUGAAUACGUUCCCGGGCCUUGUACACACCGCCCGUCACACCAUGAGAGUUUGUAACACCCGAAGCCGGUGGCGUAACCCUUUUAGGGAGCGAGCCGUCUAAGGUGGGACAAAUGAUUAGGGUGAA